GUGCUCACUUCUGCAGCACAUAUGCUAAAAUUGGAACAAUACAGAGAAGAUGAGCAUGGCCCCUGAGCAAGGAUGACACACAAAUUCAUGAAGUAUUCCAUAUUUUU
rnacentral:snRNA from 1 species